rnacentral:pre_miRNA from 1 species
UUUUCAGUUUAAGUAUGUCCUAUGCAAUAUUUGGGACAUACUUAUGCUAAAA